rnacentral:rRNA from 1 species
UACGGAGGAUCCAAGCGUUAUCCGGAUUUAUUGGGUUUAAAGGGUGCGUAGGUGGUUCUUUAAGUCAGGGGUGAAAGACGGCAGCUUAACUGUCGCAGUGCCUUUGAUACUGAAGAACUUGAAUACACUAGAGGUAGGCGGAAUGUGACAAGUAGCGGUGAAAUGCAUAGAUAUGUCACAGAACACCAAUUGCGAAGGCAGCUUACUAUGGUGGCAUUGACACUGAGGCACGAAAGCGUGGGGAUCAAACAGG